AGUGAACGCUGGCGGUAGGCCUAACACAUGCAAGUCGAACGGCAGCACAGUAAGAGCUUGCUCUUACGGGUGGCGAGUGGCGGACGGGUGAGGAAUACAUCGGAAUCUACUUUUUCGUGGGGGAUAGCGUAGGGAAACUUACGCUAAUACCGCAUACGACCUACGGGUGAAAGCAGGGGAUCUUCGGACCUUGCGCGAUUGAAUGAGCCGAUGUCGGAUUAGCUAGUUGGCGGGGUAAAGGCCCACCAAGGCGACGAUCCGUAGCUGGUCUGAGAGGAUGAUCAGCCACACUGGAAAUGAGACAAGGUCCAGACUCCUAAGGGAGGCAGCAGUGGGGAAUAUUGGACAAUGGGCGCAAGCCUGAUCCAGCCAUACCGCGUGGGUGAAGAAGGCCUUCGGGUUGUAAAGCCCUUUUGUUGGGAAAGAAAAGCAGCAGGUUAAUACCCCGCUGUUCUGACGGUACCCAAAGAAUAAGCACCGGCUAACUUCGUG
rnacentral:rRNA from 1 species